UAUUACCUAACACAUCAUAUCCAUUUAGGAAUGUUACAGAAAGAAUUUUAGUGCCUGUUGCAUUCGUAAGAAUUCACAGACGAUCAGUCUAGUUAAGACAGAAGGGUACCUACAGAGAAGAUGUUAAUGGAAGCCUAUUGCUUCUGUGGGUCCAAUUAAUUUAUAUGUGAAAUGCAACCUCCCCAUAGAAGUUGGAACACCUACUUUGUACAUGGGAACAGCUUGUGUCAUAAUUUAAAGGGGAAUUCUCUAGUUGUUCAAGAGGUUCUGUCUCAUUUCUAAUUUUUAAGUGUGUUUUAUUAAUAAGGUUAGCCUUGAAAUCCCUCAGUAGAGGUUUACAUAUGCAUCAUAGUUUGAACUUGAAGCCUGUUUUUGAGAUAUGGAUGUGCUCUUGGUCCCAAAUCAAUCUUGUCAUUCCUUAGCAAGCAAUGAAAGAUAAUAAGUACUAUUCACCUGAUUGCCUUCCUGCUCUGAGACAGCUGGUGACGCUUGCCUUCCUGAUAACCAGGACUUUCAGAUCUAAGGCAAGGAUAAAGAAAAGCUGGGAGCUUGCUGAAUCUAAAUUUGACAGUCGAUGGCAGUGUUCAGGGGUCAGGAGGGAUAGAAUCUCUGACACGUAUAAGAAAGGAACAAAAUUUAUCUGCUCUGGUUGCAAUGAUUAGAUGUCUCGUUGUCUGGCUUUCUUAUAGUGGAUGAUUGAUCGUGCCCGCCAGCUGCCUAAUAUCAUAAUUAACAAAGUUGCUACCGUGUCUGAGAAGUUUAAUCGAAAAAAAUUGCCAACAGUAUAAUGCUGUUGUUACCCAUAAAGAUCAGAAGCAGGGCAAAGUCGACUUUUGGACUAAUGGAGCUGCAGAACUAUGUGGGCAGAAUAAGAAGUAGAGCACCUGAAUGGAUAAUGUAAGAAGAUAGUAUAAUACAAAGGACUAUGACAUAGUCUGAGCUGUGUUACUUUGAACACCAAAAUUACUUUCUAGAAUUCAGUGGGAAAAUUUACGUGCAAAGAAAUUUCAGAACUGUGGUUGAAAUGAUUAAAAAAUAGGAGGCUAAUAAUGAAGGAGUGAGUAAAAGAGCCAGUGCCAUGAAAGUUAUCUCAUGGCCCCAGAUGCUGGAUAAGUUGAAGAAGGCAGAAAUCACUUCUGGAUGACAUUCAGGUCUGAAUGAUGAUUUGAAGAAGAAAAGACUAUUAUUUCCAAGCUUCAGUGAUAUUUUCCUGAAACAAAAGAUCCACUCCAGACUCUGCCACACCUAAAAAGAAGUUUUAAGGAAAUUGCCAGGCUCCUGUAUGAUGAGAGAAUUACUCACAAAGGAGAAAAUGAGAAAAGGCACAUAGAUACUGUGGAUACUUCUGUAAAGUACCAAAGAUCUGUUUCAGAAAUGGUCUCACAAGAUCCACUGACUCUCAACAAACCUGAGAUGGAAUUGCUCCAGUUAAGUGAACUAGGUAUCAAAUUACAGAUGGACUGUCUACUUUUGUCAGUAUUAAGAGUUAUGUUGCACAAAAUUCAAGGACACGUCUUUACUUCACAGUGUUGCCUUUCAUCUUUGAAGCUAUUUAAUUCAUCUGAAUAUAAAGAUACCAUGCAACGUAUAUGCCAUGAAAGUUAUUUCUGGAAUGUGUAACAGAAAAUCACCACCACAGGCAUUUUGUGGCCAUCUGCUAAUUUAUUACUUUUUAUAGUUGCAUAGAAUGAUGUGAAGGGCCAGGAUGGGCCUUGCCAUUAGACUGGUUGAUCUGAUCAUUUCAGGUGAUGGUGAGGCCAUGGCUCCAAAACCAAGCUCAUUUGUUUACCUGUUUAUCUACCAGCCAGUACCAGUCUGCCAUUCCUUGCUUACAGGUUCCUCCCACACAGUCUGCUAAGGUCAGUGUCUUGUCCUAGAAUGAUAAACUAGGCAGUGAUAUUCCUUUUAUCCUUUUCCAGACUGAAAUUCCUUGUUCUGAAUACUUCUUCUCAAUGAGGCAUUGAGAGCCAGGUAUAAAGCAGCACAGAUGACUAGUUUCCACUGUGCCUUGUUCUGAACACUUGGCAAAUGUCUGUUUGACCUUACCCUGCCACAGCUAAGAACUAUAUAUUAUUGUACAUUAAUAUUAAUAACAGCAUAUUAAUAUUAUAUUUUAAUACAGACUUCUGAAAGAAGAGUCAUUUUGCAUUUUUUGAUUUUUUUUCUCUUUCCCUUAUAACAUCUGUGCAUAUAGUUAAAAUUCCUUCUGUGUGCUUUAGAACAGAAUCUGCAACUAUGAUGUUUUAUCAGGAGAUACUUAGAAUAUCGUGCAAAAGUUCAUUUGUUUCAGUCAUGCAACUUAAAAGGUGAAAC